rnacentral:rRNA from 1 species
AUUGAACGCUGGCGGCAUGCCUUACACAUGCAAGUCGAACGGCAGCACGGAGCUUGCUCUGGUGGCGAGUGGCGAACGGGUGAGUAAUAUAUCGGAACGUACCCUAGAGUGGGGGAUAACGUAGCGAAAGUUACGCUAAUACCGCAUACGAUCUAAGGAUGAAAGUGGGGGAUCGCAAGACCUCAUGCUCGUGGAGCGGCCGAUAUCUGAUUAGCUAGUUGGUAGGGUAAAAGCCUACCAAGGCAUCGAUCAGUAGCUGGUCUGAGAGGACGACCAGCCACACUGGAACUGAGACACGGUCCAGACUCCUACGGGAGGCAGCAGUGGGGAAUUUUGGACAAUGGGCGAAAGCCUGAUCCAGCAAUGCCGCGUGAGUGAAGAAGGCCUUCGGGUUGUAAAGCUCUUUUGUCAGGGAAGAAACGGUGAGAGCUAAUAUCUCUUGCUAAUGACGGUACCUGAAGAAUG